rnacentral:rRNA from 1 species
GCGCAGCAGUCGAGAAACCUCCGCAAUACACGAAAGUGUGACGGGGUUACCCAAAGUGUCCAAAUUUGGACUGUGGUAGGUGAGUAAUGUCCCCUACUAGAAAGGAGAGGGCAAGGCUGGUGCCAGCCGCCGCGGUAAAACCAGCUCUUCAAGUGGUCGGGAUAAUUAUUGGGCUUAAAGUGUCCGUAGCCGGUUUAGUAAGUUCCUGGUAAAAUCGGGUAGCUUAACUAUCUGUAUGCUAGGAAUACUGCUAUACUAGAGGGCGGGAGAGGUCUGAGGUACUACAGGGGUAGGGGUGAAAUCCUGUAAUCCUUGUAGGACCACCAGUGGCGAAGGCGUCAGACUGGAACGCGCCUGACGGUGAGGGACGAAAGCCAGGGGAGCGAACCGGAUUAGAUACCCCGGGGUA